GAAAUGAAGGAAGAAUGAGCUUCUAUUUAUAGGAAAAUAUAGUUUCGAUAAUUGGAUGUUUUGGGGCUCAAAAUAUUAAAGUACAAUACCUUCAACUUUUCUUUCAUUUGUAAUUUAGUCCUGCAAGUAUUAUCAAACUUCCACUACCUCCCCUAAUAGUAAAUCAUGUGAAUUAAUAGUAAAUCAUGUGACUCAAUAGUUCUAAAUAUGUGAAAAAAUUAAUUACAGUAUAGUACCUUCAAUUAUACCUCCAUCUUUAAUUUAGUCAUGCAAGUAUUAUCAAUCUUGCAUCAACUCCCCUAAUAGUACAUGAAUGUGAAUCAAUAGUAAACACAUGUGAACAAAUAGUUAUAUGCAUGUGAAUUAAUAACAAUUAAUUGCUCAUUUAUUCGAUUAAUUAACCGAUAACUUCCAGACAUCAUAUAUUAUCGAAAUAAAUGUCGAUUUCCACUAACACUAAUAAUUCCCACACAAUGGAACUAUCAAUUUCAUCUUUAAUCAACACGAACUUAUUCAUCAUUAAUAUUAUAACUCACAAUAUUUAACAACCAG
rnacentral:lncRNA from 1 species